UUCAUAAUUGAGUACUUCAGCACCAUCCAGACCAAGUCAAAUACAACACUUAGAAGAAGUGGGAAUCAAUUUACGAUAAACCAAACAACAAAAAUAUGCAUCCGUGGGUUACUUCACCCACUAUUUUAUGUGAAACAAACAUGCUCUUAGAUGAAGGGUAGUCAUUUUUUACUACCGUCCUCUUCAUCAAGAAAGACGUCCCGUUUGAGUGCCUAGUUAGUAAAUUCACGAAUUAUUCGCGAAUUAUUGAAAAUUUGAAUUAAACGGUCCGUCACCAAUAUACUGAAUCCGAAUUAACUAUGUUUGAGUGUUCCAUAUCUCCCAUAAACUGAAAGAGCAAGACCUUGUAGUAGAGAAAGCAAGCUUCCUCUCCAAUUUGCCUUCUAGUUUCUCAUUUUCGUAUCUUAUGUAAGGCAUUGUAAAAGACGAUGUUUCAAAAUAUAAAUCAAAGGCUGUGCAAAGUGAGAUCCGAAGCCGGAUCAAUCUGAAACAGUACAUUUGGGCGCCUAGAACGUAUUUCCAGCGUCCGAGAAGUCUCCAAAAGCUCAAAAUCAUCCAAAGUUCAAUUCUGAAACAUAUUUUCACAUCAAUUUCACGUCAAAAUGGUCCUAACUUGAUCCAGCACUCUGAAGACAUGCUGAUUAACAAUUCAAACUGCAGCUUUUCCAAUUUAGCAAAGUCUAAUAUAUUACAUCUUCGUCUUGAGCUAGAGGAUGCGUAAAUGAACUCACAUGGAUCCCAACUUAGCCAAAAAGAUCAGACAUGCUUUUGCUACCGAGGCCAAAUCAAAACUUCUGUUGUGCUCUACAACCUUAAAUAUGUUUAUGGCGAAGCAAAUUAAACCCCUACUCUUCCAACUUGUCGGGAAUUCGUACUCAUCCCGGUGUCGGAUUUUGAGAAUCCACAACCUACUCCGAUACCGACUGUUAUGUAUCCAGUACCGAUUGUUGGGGACUUGGGAUUUCGCAAUGCAAGCGUCAAAUGAAGUUUUUACUAUAAACCCGUCUUCUUAACAAAAACUGAUAUAAUUAUAAAAAAGAUAAAAAAGAAUAAAUAAAAUUUAUUAAAUAAGAGAAGAUUACAUCUGACUCCUUUUCUACAACUGAGUAACUACAACCUGAGUUAUUUUUUUUGAAUCUUUUCUAUUCUUCUCUUAUCUUCUAUAAAUCCACAAGAAGAUAAUUUUUUUCUCUCUCUCACAUGCAUCCGUGCACUAUAAGAUGCAUGUAACUACUCAGAGACGUACAAGACUCCUUUUCUACAACUGAGUAACUACAACCUGAGUUAUUUUUUUUGAAUCUUUUCUAUUCUUCUCUUAUCUUCUAUAAAUCCACAAGAAGAUAAUUUUUUUCUCUCUCUCACAUGCAUCCGUGCACUAUAAGAUGCAUGUAACUACUCAUAGACGUACAAGACUCUCUCUCUCUUGUCUACCAUAUGGACCAUCUACCGGCAGGCUUCACAUUUGCCGUACGUUCUCAUUUGCCGUAUGUUCUCUCACAGCCUCUUCAGCUCCUUAAUGCUACUCUAUAUAUAUAUAUAUAUAUAUAUAUAUAUAUAUAUGGCGGCCACAAAAACGUACCCAACUCCUAAUAUAAUUAGGAUUCAACUCUAAGAAAUAUUUAAAUCUAUAUAGUUAGUUUAUUUUCAAUAGAUUUAAAUAUUUAUUCUAAUCUAGUUAGAUUUAUACUCUAAUUAAUAUUUAAAUCUUAAUAUAUUUUUAAUAAAUUUAAAUAUUAAUUCUUACCAAACUAGAAAAUAAACUACAAAUCUAAUCAAAUCCUAACCCAACUUAACUAAAAAUUUCGAUUCUGAUUAAUAUUCCGAGUCAAACAA
rnacentral:lncRNA from 1 species